GUGGGGAUGAUGUCAAGUCAGCAUGGCCUUUAUAUCCUGGGCUACACACACGCUACAAUGGCCAACACAAUAGGUUGCUAAGCCGCGAGGUGGCGCCAAUCCAUAAAGUUGGUCUCAGUUCAGAUUGUAGGCUGCAACCCGCCUGCAUGAAGAUGGAGUUGCUAGUAACCGCAGGUCAGCCUAUACUGCGGUGAAUACGUUCCCGGGGCUU
rnacentral:rRNA from 1 species